UGCAAGUCGAACGAGAAAGCCCGCAAGGGUGAGUAAAGUGGCGUACGGGUGAGUAACACGUGGAUCAUCUACCUUCUAGUGGGGAAUACCGUUGGGAAACCGACGACAAUACCGCAUAAGCUCGAGAGAGGAAAGCCGCAAGGCGCUGGAAGAGGAGUCCGCGGCUGAUUAGCUAGUUGGUGAGGUAAUGGCUCACCAAGGCUCAGAUCAGUAGCCGGCCUGAGAGGGCUCACGGCCACACUGGCACUGAAACACGGGCCAGACUCCUACGGGAGGCAGCAGUGGGGAAUCUUGCACAAUGGGGGAAACCCUGAUGCAGCGACGCCGCGUGAGCGAUGAAGCCCUUCGGGGUGUAAAGCUCUUUCGGCAGGGAAGAUUAUGACGGUACCUGCAGAAGCAGCUGCGGCUAACUACGUGCCAGCAGCCGCGGUAAUACGUAGGCAGCAAGCGUUGUUCGGAGUUACUGGGCGUAAAGGGUGUGUAGGCGGUUGGAUAAGAGUGGUGUGAAAUCUCCCGGCUUAACUGGGAGGGUGCGCUACAGACUGUCUGACUAGAGUGUGGGAUGGGAGAGUGGAAUUCCUGGUGUAGCGGUGAAAUGCGUAGAUAUCAGGAGGAACACCGGUGGUGUAGACGGCUCUCUGGACCAUAACUGACGCUGAGACACGAAAACGUGGGUAGCAAACAGGAUUAGAUACCCUGGUAGUCCACGCCCUAAACGAUGCAUAUUUGGUGUGGGUCAUUCAUUUGAUCCGUGCCGGAGCUAACGCGUUAAAUAUGCCGCCUGGGGAGUACAGUCGCAAGGCUGAAACUCAAAGGAAUUGACGGGGGCCCGCACAAGCGGUGGAGCAUGUGGUUCAAUUCGACGCAACGCGAAAAACC
rnacentral:rRNA from 1 species